CCUACGGGAGGCAGCAGUGGGGAAUAUUGCACAAUGGGGGGAACCCUGAUGCAGCGACGCCGCGUGAGUGAAGAAGUAUUUCGGUAUGUAAAGCUCUAGCAGCAGGGAAGAAGAUGACGGUACCUGACUAAGAAGCCCAGGCUAAAUACGUGCCAGCAGCCGCGGUAAUACGUAGGGAGCAAGCGUUAUCCGGAUUUACCGGGGGGACAGGGAGCGUAGGCGGCAGGGCGAGUCCGGAGUGAAAGCCCGGGGCCCAACCCCGGGACUGCUUUGGAAACUGCCAUGCUAGAGUGCUGGAGAGGUAAGCGGAAGUCCUAGGGUAGCGGUGAAAUGCGUAGAUAUUAGGAGGAACACCAGGGGCGAAGGCGGCUUACUGGACAGUAACUGACGUUGAGGCUCGAAAGCGUGGGGAGCAAACAGGAUUAGAUACCCCAGUAGUC
rnacentral:rRNA from 1 species